rnacentral:rRNA from 1 species
AGAGGGUGCAAGCGUUAAUCGGAAUUACUGGGCGUAAAGCGCGCGUAGGUGGAAGUUUAAGUUAGCUGUGAAAGCCCCGGGCUUAACCUGGGAAAGCCAGCUAAAACUGGACAUCUAGAGUACGGUAGAGGGAAGUGGAAUUUCCGGUGUAGCGGUGAAAUGCGUAGAUAUCGGAAGGAACACCAGUGGCGAAGGCGACUUCCUGGACCGAUACUGACACUGAGGCGCGAAAGCGUGGGUAGCAAACAGGAUUAGAUACCCUGGUAGUCCACGCCGUAAACGAUGAGAACUAGCUGUUGGGUAACAUAGUUACUUAGUGGCGCAGCUAACGCGUUAAGUUCUCCGCCUGGGGAGUACGGCCGCAAGGUUA